UACGGGGGGGGCAAGCGUUGUUCGGAAUUACUGGGCGUAAAGGGCUCGUAGGUGGCCAACUAAGUCAGACGUGAAAUCCCUCAGCUUAACUGGGGAACUGCGUCUGAUACUGGAUGGCUUGAGUUUGGGAGAGGGAUGCGGAAUUCCAGGUGUAGCGGUGAAAUGCGUAGAUAUCGUAAGGAAGACCAGUGGCGAAGGCGAAUCUCUGGACAGUUACUGACACUGAGGCACGAAGGCCAGGGGAGCAAACGGG
rnacentral:rRNA from 1 species